GUUUGGCACCUCGAUGUCGGCUCAUCACAUCCUGGGGCUGAAGUAGGUCCCAAGGGUAUGGCUGUUCGCCAUUUAAAGUGGUACGCGAGCUGGGUUUAGAACGUCGUGAGACAGUUCGGUCCCUAUCUGCCGUGGGCGCUGGAGAAUUGAGGGGGGCUGCUCCUAGUACGAGAGGACCGGAGUGGACGCAUCACUGGUGUUCGGGUUGUCAUGCCAAUGGCACUGCCCGGUAGCUAAAUGCGGAAGAGAUAAGUGCUGAAAGCAUCUAAGCACGAAACUUGCCCCGAGAUGAGUUCUCCCUGAGACUUUAAGUCUCCUGAAGGAACGUUAAAGACGAUGACGUUGAUAGGCCGGGUGUGUAAGCGCAGCGAUGCGUUGAGCUAACCGGUACUAAUGAACCGUGAGGCUUAACCUUAC
rnacentral:rRNA from 2 species